rnacentral:rRNA from 1 species
AUUGAACGCUGGCGGCAGGCUUAACACAUGCAAGUCGAGCGGGGUGAUGGUGCUUGCACUAUCACUUAGCGGCGGACGGGUGAGUAAUGCUUAGGAAUCUGCCUAUUAGUGGGGGACAACAUCUCGAAAGGGAUGCUAAUACCGCAUACGUCCUACGGGAGAAAGCAGGGGAUCACUUGUGACCUUGCGCUAAUAGAUGAGCCUAAGUCGGAUUAGCUAGUUGGUGGGGUAAAGGCCCACCAAGGCGACGAUCUGUAGCGGGUCUGAGAGGAUGAUCCGCCACACUGGGACUGAGACACGGCCCAGACUCCUACGGGAGGCAGCAGUGGGGAAUAUUGGACAAUGGGGGGAACCCUGAUCCAGCCAUGCCGCGUGUGUGAAGAAGGCCUUAUGGUUGUAAAGCACUUUAAGCGAGGAGGAGGCUCUUUUGGUUAAUACCCAAGAUGAGUGGACGUUACUCGCAGGAUAAGCACCGGCUAACUCUGUGCCAGCCGCCGCGGUAA